rnacentral:tRNA from 1 species
GUUGUUUUGGCAGAUUAGUGCGUUAAAUUUAGAAUUUAUUUAUGUAAUUUAUUUUACAGUCAACAGUU